CGGGGAACUGAAACAUCUAAGUACCCGGAGGAGAGGAAAUCAAUCUCGAGACUCCCCGAGUAGCGGCGAGCGAAAGGGGACCGAUGGCCAAACCGUCGAGCGGGCAUACCCGGCAGGGGUUCCGCCGACGGGGUUGCAGGGCCGCGCAUCCGGGGGCUGCCGCCCCCGGGCGCAGGUCCGGCUGGGGAGCGGAACGGCAUGGGAGGGCCGGCCGCAGCGGGUGACAGCCCCGUACGCGAACCCAGACCGGACGGCGCGACGCGGUCCCUGAGUAGGGCCGGGCACGUGAAACCCGGUCCGAAGCAGGGGGGACCACCCUCCAAGGCUGAACACUCUCCGAUGACCGAUAGCGAACCAGUACCGUGAGGGAAAGGUGAAAAGCACCCCGGGAGGGGAGUGAAACAGUACCUGAAACCGUGCGCCCACGAGCAGUCGGAGCACCUUUAUGGUGUGACGGCGUGCCUUUUGUAGAAUGAGCCAGCGAGUCGCUGGCGCGGGGCGAGGUUAACCGAAAGGGAGCCGGAGCGAAAGCGAGCCUUAACAGGGCGACUUGAGUCCCGCGCCGCGGACGCGAAGCCGGGUGAGCUAUCCGUGGGCAGGCUGAAGCGGGGGUAAGACCCCGUGGAGGGCCGAACGCACGUCGGUUGAAAACGGCGGCGAUGACCUGCGGAUAGGGGUGAAAGGCCAAUCAAACCCGGAGAUAUCUCGUUCUCCCCGAAAUAGCUUUAGGGCUAGCGUCGCGCGUUCACCGCCGGAGGUAGAGCACCGGAUGGACGAGGGGGCUUCGCCGCCUACCGAAUCCAACCGAACUCCGAAUGCCGGCGGCCCAGAGCGCGGCAGUCAGAGCAUGUGGGCUAAGCUGUGUGCUCGAGAGGGAAACAGCCCAGACCGCCCGCCAAGGCCCCAAAGGCCGUGCUAAGUGGCAAAGGAUGUGCGCCCGCCCAGACAACCAGGAUGUUGGCUUAGAAGCAGCCAUGCAUUCAAAGAGUGCGUAACAGCUCACUGGUCGAGUGGACAUGCGCCGACAAUACACGGGGCUAAGCUGGACACCGAAGCGGCGGGAUUUUAAUUCAUUAGAAUCGGUAGGGGAGCUUCCCAUGGGCGGAGAAGCCGGAGGGCGACCGACGGUGGAGCGCAUGGGAGUGAGAAUGCUGGCAUGAGUAGCGAGAGACGAGAGAGUAACUCGUCCGCCGUGAACCCGAGGUUUCCUGGGCAAGGCUAAUCCUCCCAGGGUCAGUCGGGGGCUAAGGCGAGGCCGGGAGGCGUAGCCGACGCGCAGCAGGCAGACAUUCCUGCACCGCGCACGCGGCGCUACGACCGACGGGGCGACGGAUGGGGGUGGCUCGGCGGGGUUCUGGACGUCCCCGUGAAAGCGCGUAGGGAGGGGCCCAGGGAAAUCCGGUCCCCGCAUAUCCCGAGACGCGAGACGAGCCCUGUGGCGAAGUCGCGGAUUCCAUGCCUCCUAGAAAAAUCCCUAGGCAGCGCCCACGCCGCCCGUACCAAAACCGACACAGGUGGGUAGGAAGAGCAUUCCGAGGCGAUCGGGGCAACCAUGGUCAAGGAACUCGGCACAAUGGCCCCGUAACUUCGGGAGAAGGGGUGCCCGCGCGUACGUGAACCGGCUCGCCCGGGGAGCGGAGGCGGGCCGCAGUGGAGAGGCCCAAGCGACUGUUUACCAAAAACACAGGACUCUGCAGAAGCCGCAAGGCGACGUAUAGGGUCUGACGCCUGCCCGGUGCCGGAAGGUUACGCGGAUGCGUUAGCGCAAGCGAAGCGCUGAAGCCAAGCCCCGGUAAACGGCGGCCGUAACUAUAACGGUCCUAAGGUAGCGAAAUUCCUUGUCGGGUAAGUUCCGACCCGCACGAAUGGUGUAACGAUCUGGGCACUGUCUCAACUACCCACCCGGCGAAAUUGUAGUACCGGUGAAGAUGCCGGUUACCUGCGGCAAGACGGAAAGACCCCAUGGAGCUUUACUGUAGCCUGAUAUUGGGUUUCGGAAAUCUAUGUACAGGAUAGGCGGGAGACUGGGAAGUAUGAGCGUCAGCUUAUACGGAGUCGUUGUUGGGAUACCGCCCUUAGGUUUCUGGAAUUCUAACCUGCGACCGUGAAUCCGGUCGGGGGACAUUGUCAGGUGGGCAGUUUGACUGGGGCGGUCGCCUCCGAAAAGGUAACGGAGGCGCUCAAAGGUUGGCUCAGCACGGACGGAAACCGUGCCUCAGAGUGUAAACGCAAAAGCCAGCCUAACUGCGAGGAUGACGGUCCGAGCAGUAACGAAAGUUGGAGUUAGUGAUCCGGCGGUAUGUGAAUGGAAAUGCCGUCGCUCAACGGAUAAAAGCUACCCUGGGGAUAACAGGCUGAUCUCCCCCAAGAGUCCACAUCGACGGGGAGGUUUGGCACCUCGAUGUCGGCUCAUCACAUCCUGGGGCUGUAUUCGGUCCCAAGGGUUCGGCUGUUCGCCGAUUAAAGUGGUACGCGAGCUGGGUUCAGAACGUCGCGAGACAGUUCGGUCCCUAUCUGUCGUGGGCGCAGGAUAUUUGAGGAGCUCUGUCCUUAGUACGAGAGGACCGGGAUGGACGUACCUCUGGUGCACCAGUUGUCAUGCCAAUGGCACGGCUGGGCAGCUACGUACGGAACGGAUAAACGCUGAAAGCAUCUAAGCGUGAAGCCGACUCCAAGAUUAGAUAUCCCAUUGCAUAAGCAAGUAAGACCCCUUGAGGACUACGAGGUUGAUAGGCUGCGUGUGUAAGUGUCGUGAGGCAUUUAGCUUGGCAGUACUAAUAGGUCGAGGGCUUGACCAC
rnacentral:rRNA from 1 species